UCACACCCAUGAUCCAUUGACUCCCAACCC
rnacentral:piRNA from 1 species